rnacentral:rRNA from 1 species
UGGGGAAUUUUGGACAAUGGGCGCAAGCCUGAUCCAGCAAUGCCGCGUGCAGGAUGAAGGCCUUCGGGUUGUAAACUGCUUUUGUACGGGAAGAAACACUCCUACGUGUAGGAGCUUGACGGUACCUGAAGAAUAAGCACCGGCUAACUACGUGCCAGCAGCCGCGGUAAUACGUAGGGUGCAAGCGUUAAUCGGAAUUACUGGGCGUAAAGCGUGCGCAGGCGGUUAUGCAAGACAGAGGUGAAAUCCCCGGGCUCAACCUGGGAACUGCCUUUGUGACUGCAUAGCUAGAGUACGGUAGAGGGGGAUGGAAUUCCGCGUGUAGCAGUGAAAUGCGUAGAUAUGCGGAGGAACACCGAUGGCGAAGGCAAUCCCCUGGGCCUGCACUGACGCUCAUGCUCGAAAGCGUGGGGAGCAAACA